rnacentral:rRNA from 1 species
UACAGAGGGUGCAAGCGUUAUUCGGAAUCACUGGGCGUAAAGCGCAUGUAGGUGGAUAUAAAAGUCAGUUGUGAAAUCCCGGGGCUCAACUUCGGAAUGGCAAUUGAAACUGUAUAUCUUGAGAUUGGAAGAGGGAGAUAGAAUUCCAGGUGUAGAGGUGAAAUUCGUAGAUAUCUGGAGGAAUACCGGAGGCGAAGGCGGUUUCCUGGUCCAAGACUGACACUGAGAUGCGAGAGCGUGGGGAG